UUCUAUUAGAUUUUAUUAAUAGUAUAAUCUGCUCAAUGAUAUUAAAUAGCCGCAAUUACUGUGCUAAGGUAGCAUAAUCAUUUGUCUUUUAAUUAAAGACUAGAACAAAAGAUUAAACAUUUUAAUUAAUAUAUUCUAAUUAAUAAAUUUAAUUUGUUUUAAAUGUAAAAAAACAUUUAUAAAUAAGGAAGACGAUAAGACCCUAUUAAACUUAACUUUAGUUUAACUGGGGCAGUUAAUUAAUUAUUAUUUUAAUUUAAAUAAAAGUAUAAAAGAUCCUAUAUAAUAGAUUAAAUAAUCAAGUUACUAUAGGGAUAACAGCGUAAUAUUAAUUUAAAGAUCUUAAAAUAAAAGAUUACGACCUCGAUGUUGAAUUAAUAACCUAUAUAGUUGCAAUAAACAAUUAUAGGAAGUCUGUUCGACUUUAAAAACAUUACA
rnacentral:rRNA from 1 species